rnacentral:rRNA from 1 species
AAAUUGAAGAGUUUGAUCAUGGCUCAGAUUGAACGCUGGCGGCAGGCCUAACACAUGCAAGUCGAGCGGUAGCACAGAGAGCUUGCUCUCGGGUGACGAGCGGCGGACGGGUGAGUAAUGUCUGGGAAACUGCCUGAUGGAGGGGGAUAACUACUGGAAACGGUAGCUAAUACCGCAUAACGUCGCAAGACCAAAGUGGGGGACCUUCGGGCCUCAUGCCAUCAGAUGUGCCCAGAUGGGAUUAGCUAGUAGGUGGGGUAACGGCUCACCUAGGCGACGAUCCCUAGCUGGUCUGAGAGGAUGACCAGCCACACUGGAACUGAGACACGGUCCAGACUCCUACGGGAGGCAGCAGUGGGGAAUAUUGCACAAUGGGCGCAAGCCUGAUGCAGCCAUGCCGCGUGUGUGAAGAAGGCCUUCGGGUUGUAAAGCACUUUCAGCGGGGAGGAAGGCGGUGAGGUUAAUAACCUCACCGAUUGACGUUACCCGCAGAAGAAGCACCGGCUAACUCCGUGCCAGCAGCCGCGGUAAUACGGAGGGUGCAAGCGUUAAUCGGAAUUACUGGGCGUAAAGCGCACGCAGGCGGUCUGUCAAGUCGGAUGUGAAAUCCCCGGGCUCAACCUGGGAACUGCAUUCGAAACUGGCAGGCUAGAGUCUUGUAGAGGGGGGGAGAAUUCCAGGUGUAGCGGUGAAAUGCGUAGAGAUCUGGAGGAAUACCGGUGGCGAAGGCGGCCCCCUGGACAAAGACUGACGCUCAGGUGCGAAAGCGUGGGGAGCAAACAGGAUUAGAUACCCUGGUAGUCCACGCUGUAAACGAUGUCGAUUUGGAGGUUGUGCCCUUGAGGCGUGGCUUCCGGAGCUAACGCGUUAAAUCGACCGCCUGGGGAGUACGGCCGCAAGGUUAAAACUCAAAUGAAUUGACGGGGGCCCGCACAAGCGGUGGAGCAUGUGGUUUAAUUCGAUGCAACGCGAAGAACCUUACCUGGUCUUGACAUCCACAGAACUUAGCAGAGAUGCUUUGGUGCCUUCGGGAACUGUGAGACAGGUGCUGCAUGGCUGUCGUCAGCUCGUGUUGUGAAAUGUUGGGUUAAGUCCCGCAACGAGCGCAACCCUUAUCCUUUGUUGCCAGCGGUUAGGCCGGGAACUCAAAGGAGACUGCCAGUGAUAAACUGGAGGAAGGUGGGGAUGACGUCAAGUCAUCAUGGCCCUUACGACCAGGGCUACACACGUGCUACAAUGGCAUAUACAAAGAGAAGCGACCUCGCGAGAGCAAGCGGACCUCAUAAAGUAUGUCGUAGUCCGGAUUGGAGUCUGCAACUCGACUCCAUGAAGUCGGAAUCGCUAGUAAUCGUAGAUCAGAAUGCUACGGUGAAUACGUUCCCGGGCCUUGUACACACCGCCCGUCACACCAUGGGAGUGGGUUGCAAAAGAAGUAGGUAGCUUAACCUUCGGGAGGGCGCUUACCACUUUGUGAUUCAUGACUGGGGUGAAGUCGUAACAAGGUAACCGUAGGGGAACCUGCGGUUGGAUCACCUCCUUA